UACGUAGGGUGCGAGCGUUGUCCGGAAUUAUUGGGCGUAAAGAGCUCGUAGGCGGUGUGUCGCGUCGGCCGUGAAAACCUGGGGCUCAACUCUGGGCGUGCGGUCGAUACGGGCAUCACUUGAGUUCGGCAGGGGAGACUGGAAUUCCUGGUGUAGCGGUGAAAUGCGCAGAUAUCAGGAGGAACACCGGUGGCGAAGGCGGAGACCUGGGCCAAUACUGACGCUGAGGUGCGAAAGCGUGGGGAGCAAACAGG
rnacentral:rRNA from 1 species